rnacentral:misc_RNA from 1 species
UCCCGGUUGGCCCGGGCAGUCUCGCCUGAAAUUACAACAGACGACAAGGGUUGCGCUCGUUGCGGGACUUAACCCAACAUCUCACGACACGAGCUGACGACGGCCAUGCAGCACCUGUCACCAGGCUCCCGAGGGCACUCCACAGUUUCUUGCGGAUUCCUGGGAUGUCAAGCCUUGGUAAGGUUCUUCGCGUAUCGUCAAAUUAAACCACAUCAUCCACCGCUUGUGCGGGUCCCCGUCAAUUCCUUUGAGUUUUAGCCUUGCGGCCGUACUCCCCAGGCGGCACACUUAUCGCGUUAGCUUCUCCACACAGGGGGUCGAUACCCCAUAUGGAUAGUGUGCAUCGUUUACGGCGUGGACUAC